rnacentral:rRNA from 1 species
AUGAACGCUAGCGGCAGGCUUAACACAUGCAAGUCGAGGGGCAGCACGGGUAGCAAUACCUGGUGGCGACCGGCGCAAGGGUGCGUAACGCGUGAGCAACAUGCCCUAUACAGGGGGAUAAUCCAGGGAAACUUGGUCUAAUAUCCCAUAGUAUUUAGAGGAGGCAUCUUCUAUAAAUUAAAGCUUCGGUGGUAUAGGAUUGGCUCGCGUGACAUUAGCUAGAUGGUGAGGUAACGGCUCACCAUGGCGAUGAUGUCUAGGGGUUCUGAGAGGAAGACCCCCCACACUGGGACUGAGACACGGCCCAGACUCCUACGGGAGGCAGCAGUGAGGAAUAUUGGACAAUGGAUGGAAAUCUGAUCCAGCCAUGCCGCGUGCAGGAAGACGGCCCUAUGGGUUGUAAACUGCUUUUAUAUGGGAGCAAUAAGGUUUACGCGUAGACCGAUGAGAGUACCAUAUGAAUAAGCAUCGGCUAACUCCGUG